GAUAAACGCUGGCGGCGUGCCUAAUACAUGCAAGUCGAGCGAACGGACGAGAAGCUUGCUUCUCUGAUGUUAGCGGCGGACGGGUGAGUAACACGUGGAUAACCUACCUAUAAGACUGGGAUAACUUCGGGAAACCGGAGCUAAUACCGGAUAAUAUUUUGAACCGCAUGGUUCAAAAGUGAAAGACGGUCUUGCUGUCACUUAUAGAUGGAUCCGCGCUGCAUUAGCUAGUUGGUAAGGUAACGGCUUACCAAGGCAACGAUGCAUAGCCGACCUGAGAGGGUGAUCGGCCACACUGGAACUGAGACACGGUCCAGACUCCUACGGGAGGCAGCAGUAGGGAAUCUUCCGCAAUGGGCGAAAGCCUGACGGAGCAACGCCGCGUGAGUGAUGAAGGUCUUCGGAUCGUAAAACUCUGUUAUUAGGGAAGAACAUAUGUGUAAGUAACUGUGCACAUCUUGACGGUACCUAAUCAGAAAGCCACGGCUAACUACGUGCCAGCAGCCGCGGUAAUACGUAGGUGGCAAGCGUUAUCCGGAAUUAUUGGGCGCAAAGCGCGCGUAGGCGGUUUUUUAAGUCUGAUGUGAAAGCCCACGGCUCAACCGUGGAGGGUCAUUGGAAACUGGAAAACUUGAGUGCAGAAGAGGAAAGUGGAAUUCCAUGUGUAGCGGUGAAAUGCGCAGAGAUAUGGAGGAACACCAGUGGCGAAGGCGACUUUCUGGUCUGUAACUGACGCUGAUGUGCGAAAGCGUGGGGAUCAAACAGGAUUAGAUACCCUGGUAGUCCACGCCGUAAACGAUGAGUGCUAAGUGUUAGGGGGUUUCCGCCCCUUAGUGCUGCAGCUAACGCAUUAAGCACUCCGCCUGGGGAGUACGACCGCAAGGUUGAAACUCAAAGGAAUUGACGGGGACCCGCACAAGCGGUGGAGCAUGUGGUUUAAUUCGAAGCAACGCGAAGAACCUUACCAAAUCUUGACAUCCUUUGACAACUCUAGAGAUAGAGCCUUCCCCUUCGGGGGACAAAGUGACAGGUGGUGCAUGGUUGUCGUCAGCUCGUGUCGUGAGAUGUUGGGUUAAGUCCCGCAACGAGCGCAACCCUUAAGCUUAGUUGCCAUCAUUAAGUUGGGCACUCUAAGUUGACUGCCGGUGACAAACCGGAGGAAGGUGGGGAUGACGUCAAAUCAUCAUGCCCCUUAUGAUUUGGGCUACACACGUGCUACAAUGGACAAUACAAAGGGCAGCGAAACCGCGAGGUCAAGCAAAUCCCAUAAAGUUGUUCUCAGUUCGGAUUGUAGUCUGCAACUCGACUACAUGAAGCUGGAAUCGCUAGUAAUCGUAGAUCAGCAUGCUACGGUGAAUACGUUCCCGGGUCU
rnacentral:rRNA from 1 species